AGAGGGAUAUUGGUCAAUGGGCGCAAGCCUGAACCAGCGACGCCGCGUGGGUGAAGAAGGUCUUCGGAUCGUAAAGCCCUUUUCCCACUGAAGAGGAAGGACGGUAGGUGGGGAAGAAGUCUCGGCUAACUACGUGCCAGCAGCCGCGGUAAAACGUAGGAGACAAGCGUUAUCCGGAGUUACUGGGCGUAAAGGGCGUGCAGGUGGCGUCUUAAGUCUGUUGUGAAAGCGCCUGGCUUAACCGGGCGAGGCCAAUGGAGACUGAGAGGCUGGAGGACGGCGGAGGGGUGUGGAAUUCCGGGUGUAGUGGUGAAAUGCGUAGAGAUCCGGAGGAACACCAGAGGCGAAGGCGGCACUCUAAGCCGUACCUGACACUGAGACGCGACAGCACGG
rnacentral:rRNA from 1 species